rnacentral:lncRNA from 1 species
GAGGUUCUUGACCGUUACAAUUGGUACUACGCGGGGCGUAGAAAUGGUCACGCGCGGCGUGGCUGCACAGGAAAGCGUGUACAAUUUGAAUUUCUUCAUCUUCUCAACCAUUCCAUAUGUCCCAUCAUCAAUUCACACGUUCUCUCACACGAAAAACUCCAUUGUUAACCCAUUUUCAUCUUCCAAACCCCUCCAAUUUCAUCUCUAAUCACCUUCAAUCAUCCCACUCCUUCACAUUCACAUACCACCCAUAUCACCUACUCUUAAGUCACUCCAAAUCCCUCAUUCCACCACUUUCCCAAAUUUACCCAUUUCAAUCUUCACAAUAUCAAGAUGUUGACACGGCUUACCGGAAAGGGGAAGAAGAAGAGUGAUGCUAAUCCAACACAGGAGCCUCCGAU